CCUGAGAAACCCAAANNANNGAANUGNNNNNUUCAUCGUCAGAGUNANUAGUACGUGUGCGGUUUGCGAUGCCUGGGACUUCGGUUCCCCGGCACGCGUCCGCAUAGUUUUUAUUACCUGGUAACGUCGGCGUGCACUCUUCUCCUAGUAGGACGUCGCGACCCGUUGGGUGUCGGUCUACGGCCCGGGUGGGCGCCUGUCUCGUGUGCGCUUCACGGCGUCACUGCGGAGCAGACCCCCGGUUUCCUGGCCGGCUGCCUGGCGGUACUCGCAAGGUAUCCAGCCGCAAAUAUCCGAACUGCGUCUGGCCCGUCGCAAGCGAGGCCAGUGUUUCCCGAAUGUACGGAUCUUAUGCUGGCAUCGGGCCUGGCCAGCUGUUGGCUGAUGGUGUCCUAGGACCAGCUGCAACAAAAUUAUGAUACCGGUCAGCGAUGCUCCUGAUUCGGGUACUUUUAGGACCCAUCUUGAAACAGNGACCAAGGAGUCUAUCAUGUCCGUGAGACAUUGGGACUUAUGAAGCCUAAAGGCGCAAUGAAAGUAAAGGUCGGCCUUGCNCCGACCGAGGGAGGAUGGGCCGGUCCCUCAAAGGGUCGGUCCCGCACUCCCGGGACGUCUCGUUCUCAUU
rnacentral:rRNA from 1 species